rnacentral:sRNA from 1 species
AGCUCUCCGUUCUCUUUCAAUCUGCAUUCUCAUCUCCGCACUCAGCCCGGCCAGCCCCUCGGCUGAACCCCCACCCAACUUCUGCGGACCGCUCACACCCAACCUCGUCGGUUUCUCCCUCUCUCGCUUCUCCGUCUCCAAUCGUUUCUCCUCCUCUUCUUGCGCUUCUCUCGCCUCUGCCUCCUGUCUAGCCUUCUCCCUCUCCUUGAGCUUUUCCUUCAACCCCUUUCUCCUUCCGGCUUUCUUCUCCCUUUGCUCUGCCUCCAUUUCCUCGCUCAGUCCUGGUGGCACGCGCGCUGCUUUCCAGUCCCACAGGUCUGGAUUGUCGUAUGCGACUUUACGGUAGAUAUCUCUAAUAACUUUGGAUGAGGCGAGGUCGUAUGGGCGUUUUAACACGUCACCAGGGACGGCGAGGGUGGGGUUGAAUUUAAGUUCGGAGAGGAAAUAUGUUAAGACUUCAGGUUGAGAUGACGAUGACGCGGCGGAGAGAAGAUAAGGUUGUGUGUACUGGGAUUGUUCUUCGGGAGAAAGGGAAGACAAUGCUGGAGGGCUAAAUAGAAAUUCUUCGCUGUACUUUUCCCAGAAAGGUUUCAACGCAUUGAUACGUCCUUUCCGUACCAUUUCAUCCAAUCUCUUCCAUCUGUCCAAUCUCGCCUCUUCCUCCGCCGAAAUCUUUGGUGCUAAUGGCUUGACUUCC